rnacentral:rRNA from 1 species
AUGGUGCCUGGAACUGGCCUGGUCGUUGUUUGGUUCGUGCCCUGGGAGAGAAAGCACGUGUCUGGGCCUGGUUGUUUCACCAUGUUUCACGCAGCCACGCGCUCCCUUCAUAGAAUUGGCGGCGCGGUCAUGGUGGCAGUCUUGCUCCCGGACGACCUCUUCCUUGAGAUCCUCAUCCGCGUGAAGGAUGCUGCUGCCCUGUUCCGAUGUGGCACGACGUGCAAGCAGUGGUGCCAUCUCAUCGCCGAUCUGUCCUUUCUUCGACGCCGCUGGCCACAAGACGCCAGCCACUCAUCCUCCACCUUCGUCGGCUUCCUCGCCAUGGGCGACAGCGGAGGGCCUUUUCCUGGCCGGGAGCCGUGGUUUGUCCCGACGCCGCGAUCGGCUCUGAGCUCCUUCGUGCCCGCUGUCCGUGCAAGCCUAUUUGACCAUGCGGCGCCGCUCGUAUCGCGCCAUGGCCUUGUUGUCGUUCUCCUUGAACAGCGCGACGCCCAUGACCGCGUGGACCAGACCAUCGUCCAAUUGGCGGUAUGCAAUCCGCUUGUCGGCACGUGCGACAUGCUCCCUGCUCUAAAGUUCAGCUCGCCCUUCGAUCACAUGAACAACGGCUAUGCCAUUCUAACCGGUGCGGAUUGUUGGUCCGACUGUGAGUCAUCGCAGCCGGUUGAGCCGCGCAACUCGUCUUUCUUCAAAGUGGUAAUCGUCGGCUGUGGCUGCCAAGACAAAAAAAGAACACGACACGGGCUCGCCUCCUCUGCCUCUCGCGAAGUCCCACUAAGUCAUCGCCGCCGCCGCCACCACCCACGCCGGCCGCUUCCGGCGACCUCCGGCGCCGCGCAGCGCGCCCCCGAGCUCCCCACGGUCCGCGUAUCCUUCCCCUCCGGCCAGAUUCUCUGCUCCCGUCCUCUGCCGCUUGCUCGCAACGGGAGCCCCCGAUUCGACCUCCCCUGCUGCGCCACCGCUCCCCAAUGGUCGCGCCGCCCAAGAUUCUCGCCGGGGACCGGGGCCUCUCGCAGCCGCACCCUUCCCCUUCACGCGCCCCCAUGCCAUCGUUUCUAUGGGUGCUCAAAUCCAUGGCUCUGGCGGCAAGCCGUAGGCCGGAUGAGCCGGCGGCAUACAAAGAAGGGGAAGGAGGUGGAGGUGGAGGUGGAGGUAGCGGCGGCGGCAGCGGCGGUGGAGGUGGAUGGGGACAAAUUCGACUACAACAUAGAGGAUUGCCGCCGCAGAGUCGGAGCCCCGCCAUCGUCCAAUCCUCGACUUGGGGCCGUCUCUCAUCAAUUCCAGCCAUUAGAGCACUGCACCAACAAAGGGAACCCAAGAGCAGCUCCUCGCGAAAAUCCUCCAUCGCAUCGAAUUUUUGAGUUCUUCCAGAACUUCGGUGAGAUUGCUUCUGCACUGUUCGUCACAGGACGGACUAUGCCAUUGUUGCCCCGUAAAGAUUUGUGCAGGUCCAUACUUCCUUUUUCCAAUGUGGUCGAGGUCUCUAGCAAGGAUACCCUCCAUGGGGUGUUCCGCAACUUCGUGGACUGCGUCUGCUCACCCAACGCCAGUGGAGAUCCGCUGCUGCAACACCUCAAGGAAGCGUCCUGCAACACAGCGCAACGGCCGCAGGAUUGUCCUUCAGGAACUCGGCACCUGGACCUAGGCAGGGCAACGUCGUCUGUGCUAUCCUUGUCUUCCUGCUACCUUUCUGGGUGUGAUUUCCCUCAAAUUCAGGGGCGAUCGGCAAUAUCAAUGGAUGAUACUUUGAAGGCUGUUGCAUCUAGGUCCAUGCUUCCUUUUUUUGAAGUCUGCGCGGUCGAGGUCUAUGGCAAGGACGCCCUCCCUGGGGUAUUCCGCAACUUCAUGGACUGCAUCUGCUCACCCGACGGGCGAUCGGCAAUAUCAACGGAUGAUUCUUUGAAGGUUGUUGCAUCCAGAUCAGAAUCCUAG